GCCUUAGUUAGCUCAGUUGGUAGAGCGCUCCACUGGAAAUGGAGAGGUCCCGGGUCCGAUACCCGGACCAGGCG
rnacentral:tRNA from 1 species